AAGGUCAGGGCGCCGACGCGGGCGCCGAGCACUCCUGUCCAGGGUGCUGAGCUCCCGCCAUCGCACCCCCACUAGUCUAGCCCACCGCACCAAACCUCCAGAGCUCUCCCACUUUGCAGCACAUGCUCGCCUGUAGCUGACUUGGGGCAGGCGGCAUAAAUCAAGUCUGUGGGGCAUGGAGGCUGCUGCCGCUGCCGCUGCCGCAGCUCAGCUUGCCCAGGGAGGGAACUGCCCCCCUUCUCCUUUCGCCUCCCCAGCGCCCACACCCUGCCUUCUCAUCUCCCUUGGGUAGCAGUGCCCUAAACACUACAGUCAUAAUCAUAGGGUUGGAACGAACUACAAGAUCGUGUUUUGCUUUUAAAUUUUAGACUACAGGUAGAAAAAAAACCCCACAAUCCUAAUAACCUAAACAUAUCUCAAAACUGCAUCGCAAGAUGGAAGAGGGUCCCACGGCUGCUUCAAAAGAAUUUGACCAAGACCAUUCCAUAGUUCCUCAUGAAACAAAGACAAGAAAAGGAUACCACACUGAACGGUCUAGGAGAACCCGGUCAGAAGCAGGGAGAAGAGAGUGAAGUCAGGGAAGGCAGAGAGCCCCAUCAAAAGGUGCACUGAAUUGAUCAGCAGUAGACACUUAGGGUCUGCUGGCCAGUCAGCAUCCAGAAGGUUCUCUCCAUCAGAACUAUGUGGAAAGGCUGCCAUUGCUGAAGCUACCAAGCAGUGAACCAUGUUGCCGGGGCUGUUGAAGAAAGCAUACACUCAAAUGAAGAAAACUGGUGGCAUGAACUGUAUGUGGACUGGGUCUCACCCCACCCCCACUUUAUAUUGAAAGUUGCAUGAGAAAAAUCUAGCUCUCCUCCUUUUCCUGUAUGUCUUAACCUGGCACCAGGCAGUUAGCCAUAUGUCUUACUGCUUCCACAACAGCCCCUAUAUUCCAUUCUCUACUUAACAGCUGCAAUGGAGAUGUUCUACUUUACGACAAAAUCAGCAAGUAUGCACAUUCUUUCCCCCACCACAAACUAGGGGAUGUUCUAGGGCAAUGCAAGGGACUAUUGAUCCCCCGGUCCUUUUUCAUGUCACCAUAGGCAAGCCGAGUGUCUCCGAUUGCCUCUUUCUCCUUACACCACUACCUACUCUCUGCUGUGGUCUCUGCUGGCUCUCCUUUUUAUGCUUGGCUUCCCGUUGCAGUGUCUCUAUAGGUCUCUUUUUAUCCUUGGGAACUCUGUGACUAGUGCCAACCCCUGACCUUUAUCCUUAGUUUACGCUUCUGAUUCUUCACCCUCAGGUUUUCAUAGCUCCCAUGAGCUCUCCCCAGAGUGAAAAAAAAUCCCAUUAUUAUCUUUCUGUAUGUAGUGUGUAGGUGCUGGGACACUUUGUGACCACUGAUGGGCUGAAUAGGCUUCAUCAGAUGGUCCGGUUCUCAGCUGCAUUUAUUGGACAAGGUAGAACACUAAGAAAGUUAAAUAAUAAAGAUGACAUGAAGGGGGACAUGCUAGGGAAUAUCCAGGGACAACUGAGGGGUUGAGAUAGAGAGUGGAUAUAGACAAAAUAUAUUCUGUGUACAUAGGAAAUUUCCCCAAGGAAUAAAUUAAUUUUUCAAAGUAACAUGACCAUUGCAGAAUGGAUGCUAUUCCCCUGAUCUUCUCCAUUUCUUCCAAUUUCUGGUAAGGGGAGCAACAGCCAUCCACUUACUCAAGUAAAACCUAACCUCAGUUGCAGUUCUUUCUUUCAUUUUUGUUUUUCUUCAUAGAAACCUCCACUCAAAACACAGGAGCAAACCCCACGAUGCUCUGCUCAUAGUGUGUAUCUUUGACAGCCCUUGGACAAAUAACUGCCAGGCUUCUAGCUUGUCCACCACACCUUCAACAGACCUAUUUAUUCCAGUAGUUAGACAAGAAAGAAGUCUUUCAAACUGUAGGUCAGAUAGAAUCAUACAUGCUUUUGACCCCUAAAGUUCCAGGGUGAAUUAUUUUAAAAUGUAAAGUGUCACCCAGGGGCUACCAAUAGGGCUGUACCUGCUUGAUUUCAUAUCUUCCCAUACCUUUGUCUACUAAUUAAGCCUGGCCUUUUUAUCCAAUUCAAAGUAAAGUGCAGACACAUCCUAAUAUACAUGUCCUGAACUUGAAUCUAUUAUAUCUUUUCAGUCCUUUUCAUAUUUUAUCUAUAUAAUGAAGUGGGCACAAAUAAAAUGUACAGUCAAGUCUACACAGCAGGUCCCAGGACAGCCAGUGCUGUACAGAGAAGCCCUAUCCCAGAGAGAAAGAGAGAGAGAGAGAGAGAGAGAGAGAGAGAGAGAGAGAGAGAGAGAGAGAGAGAGAGAUUGAUUUAAUUUGAGACUGAUUUAAUUUGUGCUUUGUGUAUUUUUCCAGUUAGAAUAUGAUCAUCAUAUAAGAUUUAUAAUACUGCUAUUUUUCUACCCCCUAGAAUCUGCAUUAUAUGAGGCAUUUAAUAAGUACUUUUCUCAAUACUUAAAGGUUAAAAGAACUGAAGAGGAAGCAUGAAAGGAAACCCCCAGGUUUCUGGUUUGAACCACUAGAUACCUGUAUCUGGAAUGGGCUGUUCAUGGUAGGCUCCACAUUGGUCAGGCAGAGGAGACAGCCCUUUGGCAUGCUGAGAUGAUAGACAAGCUGAUAGCCACUUUUUUAGAUGUCAGGAGAGAUGUCUGAUCCAGGUCUGUGGUGGGUUAUGAGGUCUUAAGCAGUUACAAGGCAGCUGAAAUGGAGUCAAGAAGAGCAACCACUGAUACUGAAUCCAUAAUGCCAAGCCUUCCCUCAAUCCUGUCUUCUGGCCUUUUCUCCUUGGCUGCCGAGAUAUCAGCCAUCAUAAACGUGAGACAUUAAUGCCCUGAUUCCUUGCUGUAGCCUGUGUCUUUCCUUCUAGUCUAUCUCUAGUAUGGGGUAGACUAGGAAACCAGACAAUGUAGUUUGUUCAAAUCUUUGCAUAAACAGGCUCUGCCUAAGUGUCACCCAGCUGCCUUCGCAGCAUGGCUUUCUGACAGCCAUUUCAGAUGCAUUCACAGUUCAUGUGUGGUGCAGCGUCUUGCUCCACAUAUAUACACAUAAGUAUGGAAUAGCACAAGAUGCCUCUAAACACUUUACAUGAACCAAAAAACAUUUUAUUUGUGAGGACAGACACUUCACAGUCAGGCACUUUGACAUUCUAUUUAUUAAAACAAAAGCAUGUCGUCCAAAAACAACAACAACAACAACAACAACAACAACAACAAAACUGGCAUCGUGACUUAAUCAAUCAAGCUCUAUGGAUGGUUCAGCAGCCCUCAGUCCCUUUCGCAUCAGUAGAAAGACAGGGACAUAAUUUCAGUAUCUUGUGUUGAGUGUUUUAUUUGGAAUCUGAAUAUUCUUCAAUUACACCCCUCCCUUCCCUUCUUCCUUUCUCUUGUGUGGUUCAGGUGACUUUCAGGCACAUUUUUAUGUCUUUAAAUUCUCCACAAGGUCCACAAGAUGGGGGUGGUCCAUUAAAGAAAUGGGUGAGGCUACUCUUGACAGAGGAGUAUAGCCGAGGGCAGUCUAUUGUGAUGGCUCCUCCUCUGCAUCAUUUUCAUCCACUAGCUGCAUACUUGGACAGGUUAACUCUAAGAGUCUAUUCGGUGACUUCAUCUCUGAUGAAGUUCUCCACCUUGUGGGGCUGGAUCAAAACCAAAACAAAACAGAAUUCUUGCAAAAUAUUUAGACAAGUCCUUCAGGACAGGCUGGUUAAAAACAAUCACCACUUCUGCGUUUUGUUUCAGCCCACCCAUAGGCAACAUUUAACAUUGGUGGACUUUUCUACUGGGCCUUCAGUUUUUGUUCUUGUUUUCCGAAAAAAAAAAUCUAGAGACGAGAAGGGCAAGUAUAGAUGUGAUUUCACAGAAGAGGGUAGGGCAUCAAUUUUACCUUUUAGUCCUAGAGGGGAUCAGGAGCCAGAUCUCUCUGAGCACUUGCGUCCCUGGUCUCCUGAGGGCCUCCCUGGUUCUGAUCUCAGUUGCCUGGGACUGGCUCGAGCCAAGGCUUUAGGACCCAGUGAAUCACCCUUCUGGCAGAGCAGGCCAGCCUGCGAGCGCGCGGGCAGCAGCGAAGUGGGUGUGUGUGUGUCUGCCAGCGUGCAGCAGGAUGACUAUAGGAGGUGAUGCGCGGCCCGCCAGGCUGGGCCCACUGUGAGCUUCACCCACGCACAGCUGCUGCCAGGGCAACCACGCAAGUGCUCGUCUGGGCGGAGCUUGCGUAGGCCCCGCCCAUCGCGGGGCCGCAGCGGAGGCUUAGCUCCAACCCGGGUACUCCUAAACAGAGUGCAGGAAGUGGCACAACAGGACUCAGUUCUUUCAUUCUGUUCGCCAGCCACCUUCUACCCUCAAUCAAAGCAUAAAUAGAAAAAGGUAGAGCUGCAUAUGGUAAAUAGUAACAAUCAAAUACACAACAGUUUACUGAGUAAAAUUAAGUGGAAGUGAAAAAUGCAGUAAAUUGUACGAAGAGAAAUGAGUUUUGAGUAUUCAUCCCUAAAAUAAUUUAUUAAAUAAGUGAAAAUAAAUAUCGAAAUAAUUUUAUUUAAGAGCCAUCCCCCCUAUCCUUCUGGAGGCAAAUUUUGAAAAUUUGAAACAUGUAUGAGGGUUUUCCAAAAGGCAUCUAAGUCGCCAUGUGCAGGAUGGUUCAGCAGCCCUCAGUCCCUUUCGCAUCAGUAGAAAGACAGGGACAUAAUUUCAGUAUCUUGUGUUGAGUGUUUUAUUUGGAAUCUGAAUAUUCUUCAAUUACACCCCUCCCUUCCCUUCUUCCUUUCUCUUGUGUGGUUCAGGUGACUUUCAGGCACAUUUUUAUGUCUUUAAAUUCUCCACAAGGUCCACAAGAUGGGGGUGGUCCAUUAGAGAAAUGGGUGAGGCUACUCUUGACAGAGGAGUGUAGCCGAGGGCAGUCUAUUGUGAUGGCUCCUCCUCUGCAUCAUUUUCACCCACUGGCUGCAUACUUGGACAGGUUAAGGCCAAGCAUCCCCUGGAAGAGGAAUUACAAAGGUCUAUGAGUUGCCAUAUGGGUGCUAGGAACCAAACCCACGGGUCCUCUGCAAGAACAUCAGGUACUCUUAGCUGUUCACUCCUAAUCCCAGCCCAAACAUUCAUGGUUAGAACUUGGGAGGCAGAGGCAGGCAGAUUUCUGAGUUCGAGGUCAGCCUGGUCUACAAAGUGAGUUCCAGGACAGCCAGGGCUACACAAAGAAACCCUGUCGAGAGAGAGAGAGAGAGAGAGAGAGAGAGAGAGAGAGAGAGAGAGAGAGAGAGAGAGAGAAGAAAUAAAUAACGAGAAAGUUUCUAAUUAAAAGCUCCCUGACACUCUACUUAUUAACACAGAGAUGUUUUAAAAUAUUUUAAGGACUAUUUCACACAAAGAUACUAAAGGAUAUAUAGACAGUAUAAUAGUGUGAAGACACAAUGUGCAUGUGACUAAAGAAAAAGAAAGCUGGAAAAACCUCUUAGAAGAAAGGACUCGAGAAAGGGGUAGAGAAAGAAAGAAAAGAAGAUAAAGGCCGAGUUUUACCGCUGGACCCGGUGUAUUUCUUCCUGAUACUGUACCCUUUCUUCCUGUCCUCUGUCUGAAUUUUUUAUUUAAUGUUCUCUAGGAUCCAGAAAUGUGUUUCUUCUGGUGAAUGGUUCCCUAAAUAAUGUGCAUUUAUGAUAGAAUAUAAAUUUUAUUAAAAUGGAGAAAGUAGUUGGUUGUAGCAACUCAUGUCUAGGAUUCCUACACACUUGAGGCUGUAGGCAGGAGUCUAGGUCUUAUAGUAAGUUUGAGGCUAGCCUGAAUUUAAUGAGACCCUUAUCUCAACAACAACAACAAUACCACCAUUACCACCCCCUACUCCACCCCCACCACACACAGACACACAGAGACACACACACACACACUUGGUGCUUUGACAAUGGCACACUAUCCCACUGUAUUCCUAUUUUGUGCUCUGUUUAAAUCAACACUACUAUUGGUGGAUAAUCAAGGUAUUUUCAAUAUUGGACAUUAAAGCAAAGCUUCUGGACCAUGUUUGUGCAUAACAUUUAGAAAAUAAGCUGAAGAAUUUCUCAAGGAUAUUUUGUUAUCUGGGAAAUUCCUGGGUCAUAGGCUGCACACAAUAGUAAGAUGAUAACUUGUUCUCCUUAUCUUGGUGACACAGCUGAUAUCAGUGGUAGCCAGGUUUAAUUCUGAAAUGCAGGAAGUUCUGAAUCUGGUACAUUUUAGAGGAAACAUUUAGAAGAAGCAAGGGAACAGAAUGGUAAUUACAUCAGAACUACUGACUGGAGGCUGACAGAAUGUAACACUUAGCUUCUACCAACAUAAGUGUGAAUACAAAUCAGAGCACUGGCUAAAUUGUCCAUUAACCUACCUUGUUUUGUCUUUAUCUGAUGUUAAGUAAUAUUUUAUCCUCAAAUUAAAACUAUCCAACCUGAUUGAAAAUAAGCAGCUAUUAUUGAUCUUCAACAUAUCCCCAAACAUUUGAUUAAUAAAAUUGAUUCUAUUAAAUUAUUUCACAUGUGUUUAUAAAACUUGUCCCUUAAUCUCCAUGAGUAAACUGCAUUUGCUACCAAAAGCUUUAAAGUUUUCUUUGUUGGCCUGGAAAGCAAACUUUAAGUAGUGGAUGCAUAGCCUAUUAUUUAAUUCAAAUUAGAAGAUUAUUGGUAACUCAAAAGUCAUGCCAGUGGGUAAUGCAUGGUUAAUUGGAAAUAAAAUUUCUAAAGUUUCUAAAAUUUCUGAGUUUUAAGUAUGUUGACAUAGGAUCAAGGUAAAGUUGUCAAAGGUUUCUUACUGCUGCUGUCUUCUUGUCACGAUUCUUUACAAAAUUAUUUAUCUCGUCUAAAACCCACCGUUGCUUUAAUGUUUCCCCUGUUACAGGAUGUACUAUUUUAUUAUGGGAAAGGAACAAGGACUUAAAACACUGUUUAUUGUAUAAAAAACAAUCACAUAACAACAGAUACUGGGUAUCUUUUCAAAUGAUAAAUAGAAACAUGUCCUAUCAUUUUGACGUGAGGGAUGAAUCGGUGGACAACAUAAAGCACUAUUUAACACUUCCACUGGCCGCUUACCUUGACUCUUACAUCGCAGCAGUUCUGAGCCAUGUCUUGACUGAGGGUUGAAGAAUGAUUCCUUUAGAAUAUGAACAAUUUGUGCAUAAUUAUAUUCAGAUAAGUACCUACUCGUUCUCCGGCUUAGAGAAAAGCUAUUCUAGGAUCUCAUGGGGAAGAAAUAUCUCUGAAGCUCGUGCUGAGCACAUUUUCACAGUUUGAGUCUCGAUUCUUCUGAAUAGUCUCAUUUAUUCCUAAGACUUUUCUUUUUUGCAUUCUGAAAUAGAUCAAGUGGGAUUACUUAUGACUUAAAGACAGACAGAAUAACUAGGGAAUAAUUCGGUCUGCAUUUCUAAUGAUAUGCUCUUAAUCACCAUGUCCAGUUCAUGCAUCUAUUUGACAUCUUUAUGCAUGAAAAAGAUCAUUGCCAGUAACUCAUAACGGUUUGUGCAAGUUUUCAAGCUGACUGACAUAUGACUGAUACAGUUUCUUCCAUAGUUCUUGUAGCUUCUCAGAUGGUGUGGUUGUGUCUUCUACCUUCUUAAUCAUGGGUGAAGCUUUCCUCUUUAAUCAGACCCACAAAGGCUGUUCUGCUCUAUUAUAGAUCUUUACAAAGAAGGAACUUUUAUUAUAUAUCCUCUCUAAUGUAUUUUGUUAUUUUUAAUUUCAUUGAAUUCAACUACGUUUCUUUAUUAUCUCAAUAAAAUCAUCCAUUUUAUAUGCUUUACAAAAAAAACAAAUUUGGGGGCUAGAAACUUUUAUCUCUGAGGAAUUUUAUUAAUAUAGGUCCUAAAGGCUAUAUAUGUCUUUCCUUGAACAGGGUUUCAUCCAUGUCUCCUGGUCUUAGUAUUACGUAGUCUUUUAAUUGCUUCAUGCUGAAUGGUUAUGCUACUUGUGGUGUUCUCCUUGAUGCCAAGAUGAAGUGUGUUGCUUAAUUUUCAAUUAACUAAACUGUUGAUCAUUUUGAAAUAAUUUACAUUUGAUAAAUGUUCUAGUUAAGGUUUCCAUUGUCGUAAGAGAUACCAUGAUCAAGGCAACUCUUAUAAAGGACAUUAAAUUGGGACUGGCUUACUGGUUCUGAGGUUUAGUCCAUCCUGGCAGGAAGCGUGGUGGCAUCCAGGCAGGCAUGGCGCUGGAGGAGCUGAGUGUUCUACAUAUUGUUGCAAAAACAAACAGGAGAAAACUGUCUCCCAAUGGCUAGGAGGAGGGUCUCAAAGCCCACCUCCACAGUAACACACUUCCUCUAAGAAGGCCACACCUACUCUAACAAGUCCACACCUCCUAACAGUGUCACCCUCUGGGCCAAGCAUAUUCAAACUACCAUAAUAAAUAAUCAGAUAGUGGGACUAUUUACUGAUUUUAAGAAAUAAUUCAUAAAACAUAUUUAAAAUUACAUUAUCUGGGAAAUGAAAUGAAUAUAUUUAAUCAACUUUAUUUUAUUAUUCUAUUGUCCCCUAUACUUGAUUUCUUUUUAAAUUGGUUCAGUUCAUAAUAUAUUAAGUCUUCUGAAAUAAGAAUUCUCAAUAAUGUUUUUCUUUUAUAUCUCUUCUAAAAUAAAAAUACUCAAUUAUGCUUU